UACAGAGGGUGCGAGCGUUAAUCGGAAUUACUGGGCGUAAAGCGUGCGUAGAGGGCCAUCUAAGUCGGGUGUGAAAGCCCCGGGCUCAACCUGGGAAUUGCAUUCGAGACUGAAUAGCUAGGGUACGGUAGAGGGAAGCGGAAUUUCCGGUGUAGCGGUGAAAUGCGUAGAUAUCUGGAGGAACACCGGUGGCG
rnacentral:rRNA from 1 species